rnacentral:SRP_RNA from 3 species
AGGAAGGCUGGGUGGACGGUCACCUUGUUUAACCGGUCAGGUCCGAGAGGAAGCAGCCAAAGCAUGUUUCGAUCGGGUCAUUCAGUCUUCCGCUU